AACAUCCACACAAUUCAUUAAUUCAGCAGGACUUUGUUGACCAUACAUUAUGAGGGAAAUAUUUAAUACUAUUUGGAGACUGAUAUAUUUUCCUCUUAUCUAGAGUAAAAUAAAUUAUAAGAAGUGAUGAAAACAACCAUUUAAUUAGACUUAAGUAAGUUUGAAAAGCAACUCUGUGAAUUUAAGUGUUUUUAAUAAUUUCAUAGGUGUCUCAUUCUAUAAACUCAAUGGCUAUUGAGUUAAUCUUCAAGUUAUUUUCCUACGGGCCCUUUUAAGAGAAGGUUGGAAAGAAUGAACCAUGUUUACCAGAGAUGUUUCCCAAGAUGGACAACAGACUGACCAUGUUGAUUCAGAACUAAGUACUAAUAAAAAGGAGUUUAAUAAGAAGUCUAAUAGAAAUCAAAUUGUAUUUAUCAACUUUAAUUCUAUUUUAAUGCACGAGUC
rnacentral:lncRNA from 1 species